rnacentral:rRNA from 1 species
ACAGCAGUCGCCGCGGGAAUACGGAGGGUGCAAGCGUUAUCCGGAUUUAUUGGGUUUAAAGGGUCCGUAGGCGGAUCUGUAAGUCAGUGGUGAAAUCUCACAGCUUAACUGUGAAACUGCCAUUGAUACUGCAGGUCUUGAGUAAAUUUGAAGUGGCUGGAAUAAGUAGUGUAGCGGUGAAAUGCAUAGAUAUUACUUAGAACACCAAUUGCGAAGGCAGGUCACUAAGAUUUAACUGACGCUGAUGGACGAAAGCGUGGGGAGCGAACAGGAUUAGAUACCCGCGUAGUCCCUGUCUCUUAUAA